rnacentral:tRNA from 1 species
UUAAUUGAAACCAAAAAGAGGUUUAUCACUGUUAAUGAUAAUAAUGAAAAUAAUCCAAUUAAA